rnacentral:rRNA from 1 species
UACGUAGGGGGCAAGCGUUAUCCGGAUUUACUGGGUGUAAAGGGAGCGUAGACGGCAGUGCAAGUCUGGAGUGAAAGGCGGGGGCUCAACCCCCGGACUGCUCUGGAAACUGUACGGCUGGAGUGCAGGAGAGGUAAGUGGAAUUCCUAGUGUAGCGGUGAAAUGCGUAGAUAUUAGGAGGAACGCCAGUGGCGAAGGCGGCUUACUGGACUGUAACUGACGUUGAGGCUCGAAAGCGUGGGGAGCAAACAGG